AAGGAAUGCGGAUCGAAUCUGGA
rnacentral:piRNA from 1 species